rnacentral:rRNA from 1 species
UAAUACCGGAUAAGCCCUUACGGGGAAAGAUUUAUCGCCGAAAGAUCGGCCCGCGUCUGAUUAGCUAGUUGGUGAGGUAACGGCUCACCAAGGCGACGAUCAGUAGCUGGUCUGAGAGGAUGAUCAGCCACACUGGGACUGAGACACGGCCCAGACUCCUACGGGAGGCAGCAGUGGGGAAUAUUGGACAAUGGGCGCAAGCCUGAUCCAGCCAUGCCGCGUGAGUGAUGAAGGCCCUAGGGUUGUAAAGCUCUUUUGUGCGGGAAGAUAAUGACUGUACCGCAAGAAUAAGCCCCGGCUAACUUCGUGCCAGCAGCCGCGGUAAUACGAAGGGGGCUAGCGUUGCUCGGAAUCACUGGGCGUAAAGCGCACGUAGGCGGACUCUUAAGUCGGUGGUGAAAUCCUGGAGCUCAACUCCAGAACUGCCUUCGAUACUGGGAGUCUCGAGUUCGGGAGAGGUGAGUGGAACUGCGAGUGUAG